rnacentral:misc_RNA from 1 species
GUGGUUGUCCACAAACUGGAAACUAAAUGCCCUGGAGAUCGGCUCACUUUGGUUGAUGGAAAUACCUCCGUUCUUCUUAAAGAGGCAAAGCCUUACUUGUGCGGGAAACAUGAGCCAAAGGAUGCAAUGUUUACUGUCUCUUCAAGUCUCAUUGUAAACUUCCAAAGUGAUGCAUCUGAAAAUGAUGAUGGAUUUGAACUCUACAUCACCCGUUUCCAUCUUGGUAUCUGCGACCCGACCGAGUUCCGGUGUGCCAGGGGUCCUUGUAUUGGUAAGUCCCUUCAGUGUGACGACCACGACCAGUGUGGGGACGAGUCCGACGAGUGUGGUUGGGGAUUCGGACUGGUGGCCGCCCUCUUGGGCGCCACUUGCCUCGGGUCUCUGCUCACCAUUCUGGUCUUUUGCUGUUGUUGUUCCAAGUUCCGCUCUCGCUGCAGUAAAUCAAACUCUCGGGGACGAAUUAUCCCUGUGUUCAGAAGAAGUGAAACAAACAGAACCCCAGCACUAGACGAACCCAAGAAGGCGCCUCUUGAAGUCCCCCUUUCUGUGUCUCAUCUUGAACAAACGCAUCCGGCAUUCUAUUCCCUUUCACCUCCAGCCUACACAGCCAUACCCCUUCCAACAAAAACCCCUAUUCAAUAAGAGUUGAUACGAGACAGUUUUUACCUUAAUCUGUGAUGUGCUCGUUAAAUUUCAUUUAAAAUGUGAAAAACAAUCUCUAGAAUCUCUGAAAGUAAUCCAUUUUUGAUUGGUUCCGAUGUGUCAUAAGAUAUUUCGAUUUUUCUUUUUUAAUUUUACAAUUAAUAAAAAAAAAUAAUGACUGCU